rnacentral:rRNA from 1 species
UGCCCCAGUAACGGCGAGUGAAGCGGCAACAGCUCAAAUCUGAAAUCUGGCCCCCCGGCCCGAGUUGUAAUUUGCAGAGGAUGCUUUUGGUGAGGCACCUACCGAGUCCCCUGGAAUGGGGCGCCAUAGAGGGUGAGAGCCCCGUAUGGUAGGACGCCGAACCUCUGUAAAGCUCCUUCGACGAGUCGAGUAGUUUGGGAAUGCUGCUCUAAAUGGGAGGUAAAUUUCUUCUAAAGCUAAAUACCGGCCAGAGACCGAUAGCGCACAAGUAGAGUGAUCGAAAGAUGAAAAGCACUUUGAAAAGAGGGUUAAAAAGUACGUGAAAUUGUUGAAAGGGAAGCGCUUGUGACCAGACUUGCGCCGGGCGGAUCAUCCAGCGUUCUCGCUGGUGCACUCCGCCCGGUUCAGGCCAGCAUCGGUUUUCGCCGGGGGACAAAGGCUUCGGGAACGUGGCUCCUUUCGGGGAGUGUUAUAGCCCGUUGCGUAAUACCCCGGCGGGGACCGACGACCGCGCUUCGGCAAGGAUGCUGGCGUAAUGGUCAUCAGCGACCCGUCUUGAAACACGGACCGAGGAGUCAAGCAUUAGUGCGAGUGUUUGGGUGUAAAACCCGCACGCGUAAUGAAAGUGAACGUAGGUGAGAGCUUCGGCGCAUCAUCGACCGAUCCUGAUGUUUUCGGAAGGAUUUGAGUAGGAGCAUUAACGCUUGGACCCGAAAGAUGGUGAACUAUACUUGAAUAGGGUGAAGCCA